rnacentral:tRNA from 1 species
GGGCUCAUAGCUCAGCUGGUUAGAGCGCAUCCCUGAUAAGGAUGAGGUCGGAGGUUCAAGUCCUCCUGAGCCCA